AUUUGAUUCCUAAUGAAAAUUUACUUGUAAUGUGGAAUUGAAUAAAGUAUCUAAAAUGUGUGUGUGUGAGAGAGAGAGAGAGAGAGAGUGUGUGUGUGUGUG